UCAUUAGCCUUAUGCCAUUAUUACAAGAAACCAGACCAUCCCCAUAGAUCUAUUGGGCUGUUUAAUUGCUCUGCAAACACAGAGGGGUGCUAAUAAGCUUUCUUUCAAGCAUGUGUUCAUGUGUCAACACUUCUGCUUCUGUCAGAAGCUUAAAAAUGGAAACAGUUUUCUCUUUAAGAAAACAGGACCCAAAUAAGGAGAUGAUGGAGUGGUGAAGAUUCCUCUAGCGAGUCUGUUCCAGCUCAUUCCUUAGAAAGGCUGUGUAUGAAAGACCAGAGAAGGGCCAAUAGAUCUGGGCUUUGUCCAGGGGUCUCUGGGUUUAAAGCUCUCUACAAGCACUUGAGCUCAUUUUCCCUGUGCCACGGGCUGGGUACAACUUGUUUCUCUGCCCAAGCUGUUAGAAACCUGAAACUUUACUCCUUGGGAAUUCUUUCAGUAGCACCAGAGAUCCAACCUAUCCUUUAGCAAAAAAUGGAAGCCAUCAAGAAAAAGAUGCAGAUGUUGAAGUUAGACAAGGAGAAUGCCAUUGACAGAGCAGAGCAGGCUGAAACGGAUAAGAAGGCAGCAGAGGACAAAUGCAAACAGGUGGAGGAUGAGCUGGUAGCUCUGCAGAAGAAGCUGAAAGGAACUGAAGAUGAACUGGAUAAGUACUCGGAGGCUCUCAAGGAUGCCCAGGAGAAGCUAGAGCAGGCUGAAAAGAAGGCCACUGAUGCUGAAGGUGAGGUGGCAGCUCUCAACAGACGGAUUCAGCUAGUGGAAGAGGAGCUGGAUCGUGCCCAAGAACGGCUGGCCACAGCCUUGCAGAAGCUGGAGGAGGCUGAGAAAGCAGCAGAUGAGAGUGAGAGAGGAAUGAAGGUUAUUGAGAACAGAGCCAUGAAAGAUGAAGAGAAAAUGGAAAUUCAGGAGAUGCAGCUGAAGGAGGCGAAGCACAUCGCCGAGGAGGCUGACCGCAAAUACGAGGAGGUCGCUCGCAAGCUGGUGAUUUUGGAGGGUGAACUGGAAAGAGCUGAGGAGCGUGCAGAGGUGUCUGAAGUUAAAUGCAGUGACCUUGAGGAGGAGUUAAAGAACGUCACCAACAACCUGAAGUCUUUGGAAGCUCAGUCUGAAAAGUACUCGGAAAAAGAAGAUAAAUACGAAGAAGAAAUCAAGAUUCUCUCUGACAAGCUUAAAGAAGCUGAAACUCGUGCUGAGUUUGCAGAGAGAACAGUUGCCAAACUGGAGAAGUCUAUUGAUGACCUGGAAGACGAGCUGUAUGCUCAGAAGCUGAAGUACAAAGCGAUCAGUGAGGAGCUUGACCAUGCUCUCAAUGACAUGACCUCCCUGUGAGCUGCUCUGCUGCAGCCCCUAAGCUUCUCUUGCCUCUCAUACCUGUCACUCCUGUGCACCUUCCACAAGCGAUCCUUCCACCUCCUCUAAAAACUUGCUCAAGCCAAAGAAGAGAACUUGGGGUUACAUCAGACACUGGACCAGACACUAAACGAACUGAACUGUAUAUGACAUGGUGGAGAACCCCCAGCGGCCAAGGGACCCUUCUCUCUGCAUUUACUUAUUGCUCCUCUCUCCUCUUUCUCUCUCUCUUUUCUCUCCUGGAAAAAAUAAAUUAUGAACAGUCAGACACCCACAGAGCCCUUCCAGGGGGUCAGCAGCUUGUGGCUUGUCCUGGCGGUUCAUUACUCCUGUUUAUGUACCUGGUAGCAGCUGUACCCCUGCUGUAGCGUCACCCGCCGCGAGCCUCUGACGGACCUUUCAUAUUAAACAGUUUUAC